AUACAAUAUGAACAAGAAACUCUCCUUCCAAACGUAAAUAACAGAAAUCUGGAUAUUAGAUGUAAUUUUAUGCCUACUGUAAAAUACUUUUGCUUAAUUUUUAAACCUUUUUGUUUCGCCGUUGUUCUGGCAGAAGUUACUUGGUCCAAUUUUCAGCAAUUUUAUAUAUUCAUAGCCAAUUUAUAGACCAAGGGUGGCCAAACUUUUGGGAUCUGUGGUCAAUCCACAUUUAAAAAAUCAAAUGAUCCAAAAACAACCAGUUGCUAUGCGCUAUUUCUAAUCCUGUGCGUUUCCUCAUUAUAGUGUCAAACUGGAGCCUGUGUGUAACAGUCUAAGAGCAAAAACAAUAAACCUUCUCUUGACAAUAAAACGUAUUAUGAACUUUUUAUCGAUUCUGAAAGAUCACAAGAACAAGUCAAUUUUUCAGAAAUGUUAUCGAUAUUAAAAUUCAUAGAGUUACUGCAAGGCAAAUCCAAAGGACUAACUACCCUACUAGUGAUGCUGAAGAAUAUCUUCAUAUUUCUGUAAAGCAAUUAUUCAUUUUUCAUCCCCACUUGUUGACUGCCAACUAUGAAAAUAAUAGUUUACCUCCCCUGAAAAGAUACUAAAAACAAAAAUCCAGACGAUCUAAGAAGCGUAUGAAAUUUGGAAGUUGGAGCUGAAACUUGAAGAGAAAUGUGGAUGUCAAAGCUUCUAAGUAUUGAAACUGACCUCGAACAGCUUGAACUUGCUGGAUUAAUAAAUAACCACUGUCAGUAUUUCCAUUAAAAAAAAAACGUUAGCUUCACCUCCUACCACAACAACUAUUGAAAGAUCUUUCAGCACUCUGCAUCAAGUAAAAACCUGGUUGCAGUCAACAAUGUCUAAAGAAAGGCUAUCAGGUCUCUGUACGCUAAAGAUUUUGUAAAAAAUAAUAAAGACAAGGUUAUUUCUGAGAAUAAAAAUAUGAAAAAUU